CCUCAGUUUUAACAUUGUUUUAUUGGCAUGAGGUCAGUCGUUGGUCUCAACAUGAAAUGUCCUUCAGUGCAACAGCACCAGUCUGUCAGAGGAGCAUUUCUUGGAGUAAGUUAGCAUUUCUCCCCUCCUCCCCCUUCAUCUGUUGGUAUUUCAUUCCGUCUCCCAGCUCCUCAUUUGCCCUCUGGUUCAAUCUCUGGAUGCGCUUGACUUUUCCACAACUCUCUCAACCUGUCAUAGCUGUGCAACAUAAAACAGAAUCAAUAUGCUCUUUUGCAACGUUGUUUGUGCAUUCCUAAAGCUUGUCUAAGGAAGCUGGAUAACUAAACUUUGCAGAAUAAAACUUUAACCCUUUCAAACCCUAGUUUGGAACAUGGGCUGGAGUAAACAGAUAUGCAUUGGGUUUUACUCGGGUGCAGUCAGCCAGCUAAAUUAGUAAUCCUGCUUUGUGAGAUGCCGUACUUCCCCAGUGAUGUUUUGUUUUCCUUGUGUGUGUGUUUGAAGGGCAAGGUAGGGGAAGGGCAGCUGUCAAAACUGAGCAGUGGCAGAGGCAGUGAGCAGUGAGAUACAGAUGGAUAGUCAGGCAUGAAGUGGGACCAAACACACAAAGCGGAUGAACCGGUGAAUCCACCAUCACUUCCUUGGCAAAUCUUCCCUCACUGUGCCCCAUCCCAGCCUACACCCUGCUCCAAACACAGCUCUUAUCAGCCUCUUACACACACUCUGUAACCACGGUAACUGUCUUACACCACUAGUCGUUAGGGUAGUGAUGUGCAACCAGCAGUUUCCUGCGGGGAUCACGGUCCACUUUUGCUCAGGGCUGCAGAAAUAGGGUGUCAUGGGACGACAGUAAUAACCUUGUUCAGAAUCAAACAUCCAGUGCAGGUAAUGUGAUGACUUUGAUUUCUCACUACACAGUUCAGUGUGUGGAAACAAUUAAGCUUAGGCUUGUAUUCCUAAAGCAAAUUGAAAUGUAUCGUACAUCAGUAGUCCUUUCUUUCAUUGGUUACACAUGGGAAGAGUUUCAGGCAGUAUAGACAGAUUACUUUUAAAACUUGUUUUGAACAUAUCGCUUAGCCUGAGCUACAGUUUGGAGGUGGAAAAACACCUGCACAGUAUUUUCCUCUCCUUUUAUUAGACUUUUAAGUAUUUUAUUCUUUUGAAAUUGUAUAUGGUAUUUAUACAAUACUGAAUUUUGUGCUUUUUGUUCUGGGGUCCUGGGGUUUUAGUUUUUAGGGGGUGGCAGGGAUGUUAUUUUUUUUUGUUGUUGUUAAACUAUUGUUCUGAAAUGCCUCUGUAGUGUGAAGCACUUUGUGUUACAUGUAUUUGUAUGAAAAGUGCUAUAUAAAUAAAGAUUGAUUGAUUGUUGCUUAAA